UGGGGAAUUUUGGACAAUGGGCGCAAGCCUGAUCCAGCAAUGCCGCGUGAGUGAAGAAGGCCUUCGGGUUGUAAAGCUCUUUUGUCAGGGAAGAAACGGUGANGGCUAAUAUCNNUUGCUAAUGACGGUACCUGAAGAAUAAGCACCGGCUAACUACGUGCCAGCAGCCGCGGUAAUACGUAGGGUGCAAGCGUUAAUCGGAAUUACUGGGCGUAAAGCGUGCGCAGGCGGUUUUGUAAGUUUGUCGUGAAAUCCCCGGGCUCAACCUGGGAAUUGCGAUGAAGACUGCAAGGCUNGAAUCUGGCAGAGGGGGGUAGAAUUCCACGUGUAGCAGUGAAAUGCGUAGAGAUGUGGAGGAACACCGAUGGCGAAGGCAGCCCCCUGGGUCAAGAUUGACGCUCAUGCACGAAAGCGUGGGGAGCAAACAGGAUUAGAUACCCUGGUAGUCCACGCCCUAAACGAUGUCUACUAGUUGUCGGGUUUUAAUUAACUNGGUAACGCAGCUAACGCGUGAAGUAGACCGCCUGGGGAGUACGGUCGCAAGAUUA
rnacentral:rRNA from 1 species